CAAUAGCGUAUAUUUAAGUUGUUGCAGUUAAAAAGCUCGUAGUUGGAUUUCGGAUGGGAUUUGCCGGUCCGUCGUUACGAUGUGCACUGGCCAGUCCUAUCUUGUUGUCGGGGACUAGCUCCUUGGCUUCACUUCCUGGGACUAGGAGCUGACGAGGUUACUUUGAGUAAAUUAGAGUGUUCAAAGCAAGCCUACGCUCUGAAUACAUUAGCAUGGAAUAACACGAUAGGACUCUGGCUUAUCUUGUUGGUCUGUGAGACCAGAGUAAUGAUUAAGAGGGACAGUCGGGGACAUUCGUAUUUCAUUGUCAGAGGUGAAAUUCUUGGAUUUAUGAAAGACGAACUUCUGCGAAAGCAUUUGUCAAGGAUGUUUUCAUUAA
rnacentral:rRNA from 1 species